CAGUUCGGAUUGGAGUCUGNAACCCGACUCCAUGAAGCUGGAUUCGCUAGUAAUCGCGCAUCAGCCACGGCGCGGUGAAUACGUUCCCGGGCCUUGUACACACCGCCCGUCAAGCCAUGGAAGCCGGGAGUGCCUGAAGUGCGUGAGCGCAAGCAGCGCCCUAAGGUAAAACCGGUGACUGGGGCUAAGUCGUAACAAGGUAAC
rnacentral:rRNA from 1 species